rnacentral:rRNA from 1 species
CCUACGGGAGGCUGCAGUGGGGAAUAUUGCACAAUGGGCGCAAGCCUGAUGCAGCGACGCCGCGUGGGGGAUGACGGCCUUCGGGUUGUAAACUCCUUUCGUUAGGGACGAAGCCACACCUUUUUUGGGUGUGGUGACGGUACCUUUGUUAAGAAGCACCGGCUAACUACGUGCCAGCAGCCGCGGUAAUACGUAGGGUGCGAGCGUUGUCCGGAAUUACUGGGCGUAAAGAGCUCGUAGGUGGUUUGUUGCGUCGUCUGUGAAAUUCCGGGGCUUAACUUCGGGGUGGCAGGCGAUACGGGCAUAACUAGAGUGCUGUAGGGGAGACUGGAAUUCCUGGUGUAGCGGUGGAAUGCGCAGAUAUCAGGAGGAACACCGAUGGCGAAGGCAGGUCUCUGGGCAGUAACUGACGCUGAGGAGCGAAAGCAUGGGGAGCGAACAGGAUUAGAUACCCGUGUAGUC